rnacentral:rRNA from 1 species
AGUGAACGCUGGCGGUAGGCCUAACACAUGCAAGUCGAACGGCAGCACAGUAAGAUCUUGCUCUUACCGUUGGCGAGGGGCGGACGGGUGAGGAAUACAUCGGAAUCUACUUUUUCUUGGGUGACAACGGAGGGAAACUGACGCUAAUACCGCAUACGACCUACCGGUGAAAGCAGUGGAUCUUCGGACCUUGCGCGACUGAAUGAGCCGAUGUCGGAUUAGCUAGUUGGCUGGGUAAAGGCCCACCAAGGCAACGAUCCGUAGCUGGUCUGAGAGGAUGAUCGGCCACACUGGAACUGAGACACGGUCCAGACUCCUACGGGAGGCAGCAGUGGGGAAUAUUCGGCAAUAGGCGAAAGCCUGAUCCAGCAAUACCGCGUGGGUGAAGAAGGCCUUCGGGUUGUAAAGCCCUUUUGUUAGGAAAGAAAAGCAGCAGGUUAAUCCACCGCUGUUCUGACGGUACCCAAAGAAUAAGCACCGGCUAACUUCGUG